UGAACAGAAGGUUAUUGUGACAGGUAUGAACAGAAGGUUAUUGUGACAGGGGUAUGAACAGAAGGUUAUUGUGACGGGUAUGAACAGGGGGUUAUUGUGACAGGUAUGAACAGAAGGUUAUUGUGAUGGGUAUGAACAGAAGGUUAUUGUGACAGGUAUGAACAGAAGCUUAUUGUGAUGGGUAUGAACAGAAGGUUAUUGUGACGGGUAUGAACAGAAGGUUAUUGUGAC